rnacentral:rRNA from 1 species
AUGAAAGUACCAAUUGCAGUUGUUAAGUGGCUUACAUCACAAUCUUGUGCAUUUAGGGGCCAUGGUGAAACACCAGAGUCAAAGAACAUAGGGAAGUGUAUUGAACUAUUAGAGCUCCUUGCAGAAUUCAAUCCUGAGAUUGCUCAGUUAUUUCAGAGAAUGCUCCAUACAGUUCAAACUACACAACACAUGAAAUCCAACAGGAGAUUUUGGGUAUUUAUGCAUUUAAAGUUAGGAAACAUAACCGUGAAGAGAUUGGGGAUUAUAAAUUUUCUAUUCUAG